rnacentral:rRNA from 1 species
ACGGGGGGAGCAAGCGUUGUUCGGAUUUACUGGGCGUAAAGGGCGCGUAGGCGGUUCUGUAAGUCGGAUGUGAAAGACCUUGGCUCAACCAAGGAAUGGCAUCCGAUACUGCGGGGCUUGAGGCCGAGAGGGGCAAGCGGAACUCCUGGUGGAGCGGUGAAAUGCGUAGAUAUCAGGAGGAACACCGGUGGCGAAGGCGGCUUGCUGGAUCGGUUCUGACGCUGAGGCGCGAAAGCCAGGGGAGCAAACGGGA